GCUUGGUUGAGGUAGUGGUUAACCUGUCUGCCUCCCACGCAGGAAACGGGGAUUCGAAUUCCCCACCAAGCA